UACGAAGGGGGCUAGCGUUGCUCGGAAUCACUGGGCGUAAAGCGCACGUAGGCGGAUUGUUAAGUCAGGGGUGAAAUCCUGGAGCUCAACUCCAGAACUGCCUUUGACACUGGCGAUCUUGAGUCCGGGAGAGGUGAGUGGAACUGCGAGUGUAGAGGUGAAAUUCGUAGAUAUUCGCAAGAACACCAGUGGCGAAGGCGGCUCACUGGCCCGGUACUGACGCUGAGGUGCGAAAGCGUGGGGAGCAAACAGG
rnacentral:rRNA from 1 species